rnacentral:lncRNA from 1 species
AUUAGAAACGGAGACUUAUAGUACCAUCAAUCAGAUUCACACCAGAAACCAAAAACAUAUUUUUUUAGACAACGUCUGCUUAUUAGAUAAGAGCAAAAACUUGCAUAUGAUAAUUCAUAUUAGUUGGAAUUGGAACUGUGAGACCAUAAAUUUUCUUUUGCCAAACUGAAUUUAAUUUCCAAAACAACUCACAUUAAAUUUCAAGGAACUAAAAUCUGGAUUUUCAUGAUUAAUCCUUAUGUAAGCUUUCAAAAGAAACAAAAGGUGCAUGUUUUCUAGUUGUAUGGCUCAACCUGGUGUUUAAAGCAAAGCACCAUGUCUAAUAAUUUGAUGUUUAAGCUAUCCAUACAAUCCAUCAAAGAUAAAUAAUCCCUUCAAAAUAAGUAAAACUAUUAAGUAGUUUGCAAUGAAGACUUGCAGGAAGAAGUGUUAUUUUGAACUCUGAGUUAUACAUUGGAUAACUAUCUAUAUACUGUCAUAAUUACAUAAAUAUAUUCUUACUAAGACAUGCAUUCCUCUAAACUAUGUAAGAUGAAGAGUGGCCAAACAAAACAUAUAUGUAUUCAACUAAGGAUAAAGAGAGUAAAGCUCAAUCAAACACACAUUUGUAUCAUUCAUACAUUAUUCUAACUUUAUUAUUCUAACUUUAUUUAUACAUAUUAAAUAAUUGAUACUAGGUAUACACAUUCUGAAAAGGUAAAAUAAAACUCAAAAUUCAUGAAACAUUCAUAAAGAUAACGAUAAAAUGCCUUAGGUCUUUGGUAAAACAUAGAAGUAAAUACCAAUAAAGUCAAGAAAACACACAAGUUUAAGCAUACAAAGCUUAAAAACUAAAAAUUCAAAGGAAACAAAUACUUCCCCCAAACGUACCAGUACUACUAAGAGUCAACUUCCAUUCUAUUUUGAUCCAUCUAAGGAAACUAAACGGUAAAUAGCUCCUUUACAAUACUCGGAAGACUGAAAACUAAAAUUUAAAAUGAAAUUGAAAUCCUUGAAAACAGAAAAUUGGGUUAAGGAGAAGAUGAACCCUAAUUUAAUUGUAUCUUCACGAAAACAGGGAAAAACCCAAAUGCUAAACAACAAGAAAUUGGUAAAAAAUAGGAACCAGAAAGGAACGCAGAUAGAGUAUAGCUUACCUGAAAAAGCUUCAUGAGAGAACGGAUUUGCUAAACGGACGACGAACACGGCGAACUGAAGCUUCGUGUGCCCUUUGGUGAAAUGCCAAGAAGGAGAGCGUAGAUAGAGAUGAACAUAGUCGACGUAGAGGAACUCAUACUUGAACGGAGUCGACGGGGAGCAACGAACCCUUUCUCAAAGAUGAAGAAGAACGAUCAAUUUCAGCGUGAAACCUUUCUUUUCUAUGUUUAUGUUUAUUGCUCGCUAAAAUAUUUUAGUUUUUGUACCCAAAAUAAUUAAGAAAAAAAAAUUCCAUUAGCGACCAAUUUUGCGACCGAUAUAUUGGCCGCUAAUUAUCAGUCUCUAAUUCAGUCUCUAUAAUUAUUUAGCGACCGAUGUAGCGACCGAUAUUUGUUGUUACUUUGACACUCGAAAUUUGGUCUCUAAUUCGGUCUCUAUAGCGACCGAAUUAUUUCGGUCGCUAAAUCGGUCUCUAAAACUGAAUUUUC